AUGCAGAGAGAGAGGAGGAAGAGGGGCCAUGAAGCCAGUCAUGGUGACACUUGUGAAGAACGCAUUAUAGAGCGAAAGAAGACGAAGAGGGACCAAGAAGCUAGUCGCAACUCAUUGGUUUCAAGUAUUAUUUCUAAAAAAAUGCAGAUAUUUUGGCUGCCGACAGAGAAGAGCAGGAGGGACUAUUUGAUGUCAACAGUUACUCCUCGCCAAAGACGCAUGAUAGAGCGAAUGGUGCAACUCAACAAGACCUGGGACAAGCUCAAUGAAGAUUAUCUGGAACGAUUUGGAUGUCCUGAUACACCUGUUUCAAAUCGGAGUUUUGUAGAGAAGCCAUUUGGUUAUGCGGCUUCUGAUGAUUCGUUGUUGACUUCCAGUGUUGUCUCACUUGCUUUAUAUGAUGGAGAUAAGAUGUUAUUUGCAUGUUCGGGCGUAGCUUUAGGGCGUAAGGGAAGGGCGUAUCCAGUAGUAUCAAGAUUUGUGACUUCAAAACGUUUGGUUACAGAAUUUGAGAAAAACAGAAACAGAGCUGAUAAUUUGAGGAUUAAUGUGCGCCUUCAUGACAAAGAAAGUUUCGAUGGGUUCUUGGGACUAUAUGAUAGUCAUAUUGCUAUUGUCACGUCCUUUUGGUUCGCAAAUGUACCUCCUGUAGAUCUGCAUUCCCAUAUUGGUUGGCAGAAUGAUCUAGUAGCUUAUGGGCGAGCCUUCAGCUCGGGUAUUUUGAUGGCCACUUCUAAUGCCCCAACACAGCUGCUAGGUGCAGAUCAUCUGAUCAAGCAUGAUCUGAUCCCUUUCCCUUGUCCUGUCACAGAGGCUGGACUUGGAGGGCCAGUUAUUAAUGAAGCUGGGGAUGUUGUGGGAUUGAGCAUUAAGGUUGAUGUCGACGAGGAGACUACCUAUUUCCUACACCGUGUGGCGCUUCUUGCACGCUUGGAAUAUUUGGAGAAGUUAAUGCCAAACUCUACCAACUUCCGUGAAUAUACCUUGCCUGAUGGUGUAAACAGCAUAGUCCCAUCAGGGUUUAUGGCACAUGUUAACUAUUUAAAAUCAUGCGGAUAUCCUCAGCCACCACCACUUGUGCUCGAAGUUAAUGGGAGAUUGCUUAAUACAUUUGAAGAGGAUUUUGGUCAAUUAUAUGGUUAUGAGGACUGUGAUAGCAAUUUCUAUGAUCGUAGCUCUGAGGAGCAGGUCUGGGAUAAACUUCGAAAAAAAGUUGUUACAAAUAUUUGCCGGCGUGUUGUCUCACUUUCUUCAUACGACGGAGAUGUGAGAUCUUUUUCAUGUACAGGCCUACUUAUAAAGUGGCAUAAAACUGGUACGCCUGUUAUUCUGACUUCGGCCAGUUUGGUUAGAAGUCGGGUUGAUGAAAAUGAGAUUGAUGAGAAACUGAAGAUUAAGGUACUUCUCCCACCGAAACAGGUCGUUGAUGGGACACUGGAACUGUACCAUUCAGAUUAUAACAUUGCUGUCAUCAGUCUUCAGAAGCCUCUAUAUGGUAUUCGGCCAGAGUAUAUUUUCCGCACGGCGAAAAGGCCUCCAAGAGUAGUAGCUAUAGGGCGUGGGGCUCAGGAUGGAUUAUUGAUGGGGACAAUUGGUAAAGCGGUCAAGAAGCUCGCAGGCGACAAACUUCCUUGCGAAGACCUUAAGCUUUCUACUUGUAAAAUCACGAAGGUUGGGAUUGGAGGGCCACUUGUUAAUAUUGUUAAUGGAUUGUUUGCUGGCAUGAACUUCUAUGGUGAAACUGAUGUAACUCCUUACCUGCCGAGGGCAAUCAUUGUGGAAGUUUUAAGCGGGACUGAUCUCCCAUCUCAUAAAGGAAUGGACCAUGCCACUGACAUAAUGGGUGCCGCAACAGUUAAGAAAAACAGGUGGCGGGUGCCUAAGCCAUAUUGGUACCAUCCCCUAUUUGAAGAUCGUCGUCCUCUACAUUUUUAUGGAAGGCAACUCCAGUAA
rnacentral:rRNA from 1 species